rnacentral:tmRNA from 1 species
GGGGACGUUACGGAUUCGACAGGGGUAGUUUGAGCUCAAGCUGCGUGUCGAGGUUACGGCUCGUAAAACGUUACCCGCCAAUAAUAACUGGCAAACAAAACAAUUUCUCUUUAGCAGCUGCCUAAGCAAUUGCUAAAGGAUCCCGCUUAGCAUCACCCAUGUGCUAAGAUUUGGGGUCUCAACUGAAGUGGGAUACGCUAACCUCCACCGUCUGAGGACGGUUAGAAGAGUCUAAUCAGACUAGCAACAUGGACGCCUGUUGAUUGGCAUAUGUGCUUGCGAAUCCAAAAUAGAUCAACUACACAUGUAGACGCUUGAGUGGCGAUAUCUCUGGACGUGGGUUCGACUCCCACCGUCUCCACCA